AUUGGACGCUGGCGGCAGGCCUAACACAUGCAAGUCGAACGGUAACAGGAAGCAGCUUGCUGCUUCGCUGACGAGUGGCGGACGGGUGAGUAAUGUCUGGGAAGCUGCCUGAUGGAGGGGGAUAACUACUGGAAACGGUAGCUAAUACCGCAUAAUGUCGCAAGACCAAAGAGGGGGACCUUCGGGCCUCUUGCCAUCGGAUGUGCCCAGAUGGGAUUAGCUUGUUGGUGGGGUAACGGCUCACCAAGGCGACGAUCCCUAGCUGGCCUGAGAGGAUGACCAGCCACACUGGGACUGAGACACGGUCCAGACUCCUACGGGAGGCAGCAGUGGGGAAUAUUGCACAAUGGGCGCAAGCCUGAUGCAGCCAUGCCGCGUGUAUGAAGAAGGCCUUCGGGUUGUAAAGUACUUUCAGCGGGGAGGAAGGGAGUAAAGUUAAUACCUUUGCUCAUUGACGUUACCCGCAGAAGAAGCACCGGCUAACUCCGUG
rnacentral:rRNA from 1 species